rnacentral:rRNA from 1 species
UACGUAGGCAGCAAGCGUUGUUCGGAGUUACUGGGCGUAAAGAGUGCGUAGGCGGUUCUGCAAGUUUGUUGUGAAAUCUCCCGGCUUAACUGGGAGGGUGCGGCGAAAACUGCGGGGCUUGAGUGUGGGAGAGGUAAGCGGAAUUCCUGGUGUAGCGGUGAAAUGCGUAGAUAUCAGGAGGAACACCGGCGGUGUAGACGGCUUACUGGACCAUGACUGACGCUGAGGCACGAAAGCGUGGGGAGCAAACAGG